CCGAGAGUUUGCCUCUCCACCCUUUGUGUACCCUCCUCUGUUUCUUCGGCGGGCCACCAGGCCACCGGCCUCCCCUAGUGGUGGGCCGGCCUGGGCUUGUGGCCCGUCGGUGGUAACUCUGUCGUCGAAUGUGUUGUCUGAGUUUAGCUUCCAAUUAGAACA
rnacentral:misc_RNA from 1 species